UACGAAGGGGGCUAGCGUUGCUCGGAAUCACUGGGCGUAAAGGGUGCGUAGGCGGGGUUUUAAGUCAGGGGUGAAAUCCUGGGCUUAACCUAGGAACUGCAUAUGAUACUGUAUGUCUAGAGUGAAGUAGAGGGUAGCGGAAUUUCCGGUGUAGCGGUGAAAUGCGUAGAUAUCGGAAGGAACACCAGUGGCGAAGGCGGCUACCUGGACUUUAACUGACACUGAGGCGCGAAAGCGUGGGGAGCGAACAGG
rnacentral:rRNA from 1 species